GCGCACUCGGUGACAGGAGGCGCUGCAAUAGCGAUGGUGCAAGCGGUAAUCGGGUUGACGGGGCGUAAAGCGGGCGUAGGCGGUUUGCGAAGUCGGUUGUGAAAGCCCUGGUCUUAACCUGGGAAUUGCAGUCGAUACUGGCAGGCUAGAGAACGGUAGAGGGAGGCGGAACUCCAGGUGUAGCGGUGAAAUGCGUAGAUAUCUGGAAGAACACCGAUGGCGAAGGCAACCUCCUGGGCCUGUUCUGACGCUGAGGCACGAAAGCGUGGGUAGCAAACAGGAUUAGAUACCCUUUUAGUC
rnacentral:rRNA from 1 species